GAACGCUGGCGGCAGGCCUAACACAUGCAAGUCGAGGCGGGGUUUUCGGACCUAGCGGCGGACGGGUGAGUAAUGCGUAGGAAGCUACCCGAUAGAGGGGGAUACCAGUUGGAAACGACUGUUAAUACCGCAUAAUGUCUACGGACCAAAGUGUGGGACCUUCGGGCCACAUGCUAUCGGAUGCGCCUACGUGGGAUUAGCUAGUUGGUGAGGUAAUGGCUCACCAAGGCGACGAUCUCUAGCUGGUUUGAGAGGAUGAUCAGCCACACUGGAACUGAGACACGGUCCAGACUCCUACGGGAGGCAGCAGUGGGGAAUAUUGGACAAUGGGCGCAAGCCUGAUCCAGCCAUGCCGCGUGUGUGAAGAAGGCCUUCGGGUUGUAAAGCACUUUCAGCGAGGAGGAAGAGUUGUGUGUUAAUAGUACACAGCUUUGACGUUACUCGCAGAAGAAGCACCGGCUAACUCUGUG
rnacentral:rRNA from 1 species